GUUUGACCUCAAAUCAGGUAGGAUUACCCGCUGAACUUAAGCAUAUCAAUAAGCGGAGG
rnacentral:rRNA from 1 species